rnacentral:lncRNA from 9 species
GAAAAGGUGACAUUUGAGAUGGACUCUUGAAGGAAUUAUAACACAUGGAAAUCUGGGCAUUAUAGAUGACUGAGCAACAUAUUUUAAGAUCCAGAACACUCAAAGCAUGGGAACUGGGAGAAGAGUCAUGGGAGAAAUGGAGAUAAGAGCAUAAAAUGUGUCCUGAAUCAUCUGAAGUGGCAGCCCAGGGCUGUUCUGAACCAAGCUGAGAAAGUGGCACAAUGCUGUGUUGCAGGAAGUGAAAGGUACCAUGGGCUCCUGUGCUGGUG